rnacentral:misc_RNA from 1 species
AGUCUCAGAAGAUCCUCAGCAAGAUCAACACAGCACAAGAGGAGUGCCUCACAGAAGCCGAUGACAUAAAUCCGGCAGUCAUCAAGAAGCUUAUUAGGGGGGCCGUUCCAGCAUGAUAAAGUGCGUUUGGGCAGUGUCGCAGAGGAAGAGGAUCCUCAUGUCAGAGAAGAUAAGAUCAUCGAGUGUAUGUCAGAGAACGCGGACACCUUCAAGGAGACCAGUGGUAUGACAGAUGAGGAAGAGCAGAAGUUCGAUGAUGCCCUGAACUGCGUCAAAAAACUCAUAGAAGAAUAGUUUGAAAACUGCUGCGUGCCGUAUAGAAGAGACCUGAGUGCUUCAGUGAACUUAACCAAAUGCUGAAUAAAAUAAAACUUGAAGGUA